rnacentral:tRNA from 1 species
AAAAUUUUAAGUUAUCUAAACUGUUAAUCUUCAAAAUUAAAAAAAUAUUUUGUUAUAUAAAUUUUA